ACUUGUUGGCUCUUUUUUUGAGAGCCAUCCCCUGUUGGGCCAGACUUGAUUAGGACAAAGAAUGUGUAUUCCUGUAGUUUGGAAACAAUUGACACCGACUUGGUAGGAUCCUGUGACCAGUUGUGGCCUCAAGACACAUGGACUGGGAAAUAACACCUUUUCUUUUGAAGACAUCUGACCAAUAAGGAGGGAUUUCAUUUGAGGAACCACCCUCAACUUCUUUGGGAUAAAUUUGGGAUAUUGAGAUGAUUUCAAGACUGAUUGAUGUGACUCCAGAAGGGAGAUGCAUGUUUUCAGUCCACUGUCAGCUGCAGUGUAACAUUUGCUUUUUGUCAUGUCAUUUUCAUCAUUCUGUUUUAUUAAAUCUUUUGUUUAAUCUUCAAUUGGACCAAACCUCGCUCCUUCCUCAGAGAUCAACGAACACAUCCCUUAGAAUUUC